rnacentral:rRNA from 1 species
AUUGAACGCUGGCGGCAUGCUUUACACAUGCAAGUCGAACGGUAACAGGCCGCAAGGUGCUGACGAGUGGCGAACGGGUGAGUAAUGCAUCGGAACGUGCCCAGUCGUGGGGGAUAACGCAGCGAAAGCUGUGCUAAUACCGCAUACGAUCUAUGGAUGAAAGCGGGGGACCGUAAGGCCUCGCGCGAUUGGAGCGGCCGAUGUCAGAUUAGGUAGUUGGUGGGGUAAAGGCUCACCAAGCCAACGAUCUGUAGUUGGUCUGAGAGGACGACCAGCCACACUGGGACUGGGACACGGGCCAGACUCCUACGGGAGGCAGCAGUGGGGAAGUUUGGACAAUGGGCGCAAGCCUGAUCCAGCAAUGCCGCGUGCAGGAAGAAGGCCUUCGGGUUGUAAACUGCUUUUGUACGGAACGAAACGGCGAGCUCUAAUACAGUUUGCUAAUGACGGUACCGUAAGAAUAAGCACCGGCUAACUACGUGCCAGCAGCCGCCGCCG